GGCGCCAUGGACUUAGUGGUAAAGCGCCUGUCUAGUAAACAGGAGACUCCUGGGUUCGAUCCCCAGUGGUGCCU
rfam:Ciona savignyi cont_61062, whole genome shotgun sequence.